rnacentral:rRNA from 1 species
GAUCCUGGCUCAGAAUCAACGCUGGCGGCGUGCCUAACACAUGCAAGUCGAACGCGAAAGGGGCUUCGGCCCUGAGUAGAGUGGCGAACGGGUGAGUAACACGUGGGUGAUCUACCUUCGAGUGGGGGAUAACGUUCCGAAAGGAGCGCUAAUACCGCAUGACGUUCUGGGUUUGAAGACCUGGAAACCAAAGUCGGGGACCGCAAGGCCUGACGCUGGGAGAGGAGCCCGCGCCUGAUUAGCUAGUUGGUGAGGUAACGGCUCACCAAGGCAACGAUCAGUAGCCGGCCUGAGAGGGCGGACGGCCACACUGGGACUGAGACACGGCCCAGACUCCUACGGGAGGCAGCAGUGGGGAAUUGUUCGCAAUGGGCGCAAGCCUGACGACGCAACGCCGCGUGGAGGAUGAAGGUCUUCGGAUCGUAAACUCCUGUUGACCGGGAAGAAUGGGCCUCGACUGAAUACGUCGAGGCAAUGACGGUACCGGUUGAGGAAGCCACGGCUAACUCUGUGCCAGCAGCCGCGGUAAUACAGAGGUGGCAAGCGUUGUUCGGAAUUACUGGGCGUAAAGGGCGCGUAGGCGGCCUUCUUAGUCGGACGUGAAAUCCCCAGGCUCAACUUGGGAACUGCGUCCGAUACUGGAUGGCUUGAGUGCGGGAGAGGGAUGUGGAAUUCCAGGUGUAGCGGUGA